ensembl:snoRNA SNORA70 Small nucleolar RNA SNORA70
UUGCAGCCAAUUAAGCCAACCGUGUUCAUUUCCCCGUGGAGGCCCAACGUGCAAUGGCUCCUCAGUAGUAUGUAGCCUGUUGCUUACACCAGCUGUGCUAAGGGACUUGGAGACAGCC